GACGAACGCUGGCGGCGUGCCUAAUACAUGCAAGUAGAACGCACAGUUUAUACCGUAGCUUGCUACACCAUAGACUGUGAGUUGCGAACGGGUGAGUAACGCGUAGGUAACCUGCCUGGUAGCGGGGGAUAACUAUUGGAAACGAUAGCUAAUACCGCAUAAUAUUAAUUAUUGCAUGAUAAUUAAUUGAAAGGUGCAAUUGCACCACUACCAGAUGGACCUGCGUUGUAUUAGCUAGUAGGUGAGGUAACGGCUCAACUAGGCGACGAUACAUAGCCGAGCUGGGGAGGUGGUCGGCCACCAUGGGAAUGGGGACACGCCCAGGCUCCUACGGGAAGCAACAGUAGGGGAUCUUCGGCAAUGGACGGAAGUCUGGACGAGCAACGCCGCGGGAGUGAAGAAGGUUUUCGGAUCGUAAAGCUCUGUUGUAAGAGAAGAACGGGUGUGAGAGUGGAAAGUUCACACUGUGACGGUAUCUUACCAGAAAGGGACGGCUAACUACGUG
rnacentral:rRNA from 1 species